rnacentral:rRNA from 1 species
GUGGGGAAUCUUCCGCAAUGGACGAAAGUCUGACGGAGCAACGCCGCGUGAGUGAAGAAGGUUUUCGGAUCGUAAAGCUCUUUCGUUAGGGACGAACGUGCUCUUUGUGAAUAAUGAGGAGUAAUGACGGUACCUAAAUAAGAAGCCACGGCUAACUACGUGCCAGCAGCCGCGGUAAUACGUAGGUGGCAAGCGUUGUCCGGAAUUAUUGGGCGUAAAGCGCGCGCAGGCGGGAUAUCAAGUCUGUCUUAAAAGUGCGAGGCUAAACCUCGUGAGGGGACAGAAACUGGUAUUCUUGAGUGUCGGAGAGGAAAGUGGAAUUCCAAGUGUAGCGGUGAAAUGCGUAGAUAUUAGGAGGAACACCAGUGGCGAAGGCGACUUUCUGGACUGUAACUGACGCUGAGGCUCGAAAGCCAGGGGAGCGAACGGGAUUAGAAACCCCGGUAGUCC